UACGGAGGGUGCAAACGUUGCUCAGAAUCAUUGGGCGUAAAGCGCACGUAGGCGGCGCGUUAAGUCGGGUGUGAAAGCCCUGGGCUCAACCCAGGAAGUGCAUUCGAAACUGGCGCGCUUGAAUAUGGAAGAGGGUCGCGGAAUUCCCGGUGUAGAGGUGAAAUUCGUAGAUAUCGGGAGGAACACCAGUGGCGAAGGCGGCGACCUGGGCCAAUAUUGACGCUGAGGUGCGAAAGCGUGGGGAGCAAACAGG
rnacentral:rRNA from 1 species